rnacentral:ribozyme from 13 species
UUCUCCUUCUUCUCCUUCUUGUUCUUUCUGUCCACAAUGCAGCGGAAUGUAUCGUGUUUCAGUUACAAAGGAGGGAACAGAAUUACUGAGUACGUUUGUUCGAGGCGCAGAAAAAUUAGAAAAGAAAUAUCUCUGUAUUUUGAUGUGCA